rfam:Myotis brandtii contig205721, whole genome shotgun sequence.
CUAUCUCUUGCUUCGACAGUGUUUGGACGGAACAG